GCAGAACAAGGGGCGCUUUGUGGGUGUGGUGGAGGAGGGAGAGCAGAGGUGAGAGCUGUCUGUAAGGUCAGCAGGACUGUCAGGAAAGGGUUUUCACAGUGUGGAGCAGGUCAAAAGCAUUUGUGCUGCCCCACAUGCCUGAAUGGGAAGGGGGCUGCCCUGAGAGCAAAAAAGUUCUGAAGACAAGGAGCCCAACCACUUGCCUUAUGAUAGCAAAGGUGUGUAAUACACAGGACUACAAGCCCUGUCCCCCUUAGCUGUCUGAGAAUCUUCUGCAUCACUCUUUGGAUACAAUCAAGUAAGUGGAUGCCUCAGCUCUGUGGAGGAUGGCAGAGAAUGUGAUGUCGCAUCCAUGUUCUGCAUGUGUGCAGCCUGUCAUUUAGAAGCCUUGCCUCAAGGACCCAGGGCCCAACGAAGUCACCUGUGUGUGGCCCUCAGAAAAGAGAACAUGGAAGAGUAUCCAUCCCCUCUGUCCUCCAACUGCCUGGACUUCUUGCCACUAGAAACAUGUAUGGGAACUAGAACCUAACCCCAUGUCCUGGUAACCUCAGGCCUAUGUUCAAUUCUGAAUGAUAGGAUGUAAACAGAGCUCCUGAUGUCCAUGUCAUGAUCAUCAAGGCUCUACAUAGAGCCCUAUACAACUUGACUGUAAACAGAGUGUCCCACAUAAGGCACCAUGUCCCAACUCACACAGCACUGCAUGCAGCCCUCCCCAAGUGAAUGUGGGCAGAGCCCUGCCCUUGUCUUAAACACCAUGGAUGUGCACUCAGCCCUAAAGUGAAUGUGAGCAGAGCCUUUCACUAUCCUGAAAAACUCAGGCAUGUGUGGUGCCCUCUAAGAUGUGACUGUGAGCAGAACCUCCCUUGUGUCCUGAUGACCUCAGGCACUGCAGGAGCCUCAAAGACUGUGGAUGUGGAUAUAGCUCUUCCAUGCAACAACAAUUCCAGGGAAGUGUGGCCCCGCUACAAAGCAGAAGGCAAGCAGAGCCUCAUGCUGGGCAUCAGCAUCACGAAUGGAAACCUCUACAGGGUGGAGGUGAGUACAGGCACAUCAUUUGCUGAUCGACUUUCUCAGGUAGGUGCAAACCUUCAGCCACACAAAGGUGAGCACAGCACCGUAGAGGGGUGCUCAUCUCGUGCAUGUGGAGCCCUUUUCAACAUGCAACACACACACAGCGGCCCAGCCCAACAAUGCCCCGGGGUGUGUGGAACUCUAACAGGAAAUGGGCACUGUGUGCCCACACACACAAUGACCAUCUCAGGAUCCUGUGGAGCCCUGUAGAACUCUGUGGGAAAUGCCCUCUCCUGUCCAGACAACCUGAGGCAUGGGUGGAGCCAGCCAGGUGGUGAUCACCUCUCCAAGUAACGUCAAGAACCUUAGACAAGGAGGAAGUGAACACACAUCCCCAUGCAAACUUCUGAUGCGAAUUGAGCUGUCUCCAGGGUAAGUGCAAGCACAGGCCUCACAACUCCGAUCCAUCAGCUACGUGGGACGCCUCUACAUUUUGGUGUGAGAAAUGUCCCAUCACAUCCUCACAACCUCACAGGUUUGUGAGUUACUCUAUAAAGUGACUCUCCGAACAGCCUCUGCCAAUGUCCCAACUACAUCUCACCUCUGAGUUGAGCUGGCUUCCAUCUACAUCUGGCUGGAGCAGCCCAGGAUUCAACCAUGGAAGAAUCCUGUUGAGAAUUUACUAUGCAAAUGUGGAAAGAGGCCUUCACAGACAAAGAGACUGGGCUUACAAACAAUAUAGGGAACCUGUCCACUGUAUAUGUGAGCAGGGCCACCCCUCAACAUGCCUGAGUCCUGACACACUCAGGCAUUUGGGAACACCUGAGUGACAUGAAUGCAAAGAAGGGGUCUCCACGUCCUGCCAAUCAGGAGUCUCUAGUCUCUCUACAGCAGGUAAGCAUAAGCAGGGUCUUUGCAUCACCUAUGGAGCCCUACCGCCAUGGAAAGCACAGGAGCUCUACCUACAUCUGAUCCUCCCAGAGGAAUACAAACUGCAGCUUAGCUGUGACCAGAGCCAUUUCAUGGGGUAAUGAUCACACCUGUUUGCUGAGGCCUCCACAAUGAAGUUGUGAACAGAGUUGCCAAUUUCCUCCAUACCUCAACCACAUAUGGAAAGAUCUGCAAGGCAUGUGCGAAACAUCCCCUCUAUUGCAGCACAAAUGUGCAUAUGCACACACUAUCCCAGGGAGCUGUGCAGCCCUGUGCAAACACAGACAUGAGUAGCAUUCUCCUGUAUCCUGAAUAACUCAAGCCCAUACAACAUGAUGGGAGCAGAGCCUGCAUGUCCUGGUUACCAUUCCUGUGCGUAGACUCGUCUGCACCAUGCAGGUGAGUAGCACACUUUGACUCACCUCUUGACCGGCUCCCACGUGGACUUCCCACAGUCUCAAGGAGGACAUGCCUUGGGACUUGCAAGACAUAUGUGACCACAGAUGCAGCCUGCAGAGACCCCUCAAACACCCAUGCAAGCAUAACAAAGCCGACUAUUCACCAGCUCUGGUAAGUAGCACCAAGUCAUUUUCCUCAUCGAUGCUAGUUUCCUCCCAUAUGCAUGGGAGCAGCGCACUACAUGUUCUGAACAACGUCGGUAAUUGUCAGACCCUGGAGAAGAAGUCUGUGAGCAGAAAACAAAUUACAAGACUCAUUUAAAGGUGAAGACGACUUGCAAAAUCUACAUACGACCAGAAGCUCUACACAUGCACAGACUAUCCAAGGUGGCAGUCACACUCAGGAGGAUGUACAAGAGAGUGGGGUUUCUCACAGCCAGACGGAGUUAAGUACAUGUGGCCUGCAGGAUGAGGAUGUUAGGAGCAACUGACAGCUCUUGUAUUAACCAUCUGGGGCUCCUGCAGUGCCUGGUGCAAUGUGGAUGACAAAGCAGCCCCACCCAAUCGCCAUCAGAGAAGGGAUUUCUUUAUAAAAGACCUCCACAUCAUCUGUAUGGUCAGAUCUUCGUCCCAUCGGCACAACCGUGGGAAUGUGGAAUCCUGUAAAAUGUGCAUCUUGUAUGAUACCUUGAGAUAAAGAACAUCCUGGGCCUCAGAAGAGUCCUGCAGAACAAGGACGUGAACACCAGUCCCCCCUUGUAGUGGACCUACCACUGAUACAGUUGUGAUUGCUGUCCAAUGUCUUGUCCCCUGAGAACCCUCUGAGCUCAAUAAGCAAAUGUAAAUGGGGCCCUCUCUAUUGUAAACCUGCAUCCCCUGACCUGUCAGCCCUGCCUCAAGCAUGUAUGAAACCUUGUGCAUUGUGAACCUGACCUCAUGUUCCCGUCAUGUCCUCCCUACUCCCACUUGUCUGAUGCUUAGUGCAAUGUCACCAUCAUUUCAUUCACCUGUCCCAUGGCAUGGAGUCCAGCAAAGAGUGGCGAGCACACACUCCUGUUCUGACUAGGCCAUGAAUGUGUGUAGCACCACACACCACAGAUGUGACCAGGGCCACUCCGCCGUGUCUUGAUGACCUCAGGCACUGCUGGAGCCCUGCAGAAUGUGGAAGUAUGUGCCCAGCAUUCAUCUCCUGAGCCGCUCUGAUGUGUGUGCCCUGUGCAAAGUCAAAGAGAACACAGCACAGACAUGGAAUAUGCAUCAUCACCUUGCAUGCAGCCCCUUAGGAAGAGGACAUGACAAGUGGUGCACCAUUUCUGGACCAAGUGCAGACUCUGAAAAAAACCUCUAUCACACAGUUUCAGCCAGGGAAGCACAGCCUGCGCUCAUCAGCCUCACCAUUGUGUGGCCCUCCCCAAGAGAAUGUGAGCAGCACCCUGCCCUUGUCUUAAACACCACGGAUGUGCACUGAGCUCUAAAGUGAAUGUGAGCAGAGCCUCUCACUGUCCUGAACAACUCAGGCAUGUGUGGCCCCCAGCAUGAUUUGACUGAGAGCAGAGCCUCCCCUUUGUACUGACAACCUCAGGCCAUGGAAGAGCCCUGGACAGGGUGGAUCAGGACACAGCCUUUCCACACACCAAAAUUCUCAGGUAAGUCUGGCCCCACUAUAAAGAGAAGGCAAGAAGAGCCCCACAUACUGCAGACCUCAGCAUCAUGCAUGAAGCCUUCUAAAGGGUGGAGGCAAGAAGAGGCACACCAUUUGCUGACAGACUCUCUCAGGUAGGUACAAGCCUUCAGUGACACAGAGGUGAGCAGAGCAGUGCACAGUGGUGCUCAUCUCACCCAUGUGGAGCCCUUUUCAACAUGUAAGAGGCACACAGCGGCUCAUUCCAUCAAUGCCUCAGGCCUGUGCGGAACUCUCCACCGGGAAAUGGUCACCGUGUGCCCGCACACACAAAGACCAUCUCAGGUUCCUGUGGAGCCCUCAAAAACUAUGUGGGCGAUGCCGUGUCUUGUCCAGACUACCUGAGGUACGGUUGCAGCCCAGAUAGGCGAUGAUCACCUCUGCAAGUCAAGAACCUCACAAAAGGAGGAUGAGAACUCACUUCCCCCUUGCAAACAUCUGCUGGGAUUGGGAGCCCUCUCCAAGGUAAGUGGGAGCACAGGCCUCAUAACUUCAAUCCGUCAGCUAUGUGGGACGCCUCUACAUUAUGCUGUGACAAAUGUCCCAUCACAUCCUCACAAACUCACAUGUUUGUGAGCACUCUACAAAGUGACUCUCUGAACAGCCUCUGCCAACACCCCAGCUACAUCUCACCUCUGAUUUGAGCUGGCUUGCCUCUGCACCUCCCUGGAGCAGUCCGGGACUCAACCAUGGAAGAUUCCUGUGGAGAAUCUACUAUGCGAAUGUGGACAGAGGCCUCCACAGACAAAGAGACUGCACUUACAAACAAUAUAGGGAACCUGUCCAGUAUAUACGUGAGCAAGACCACCUCUCAACCUGUCCUGACACACUCAGGAAUUUGGGAAUACCUGAGCAACAUGAAUGUGAAGAAGGGGUCUCCGUGUCCUGCCAAUCGGGGACCUCCAGUCUCUGUAAAUCAGGUAAGCAUGAGCAAGGCCUUUGCAUCUCUGUCUCCUGGGGAGCCCUGCCACCGUGGACUCCACAGGAGCUCAACCUACUCCUGACCAUCGCAGAGGAAUGCAAACUGCAGCUUGCCUGUGACCAAAGCCAUUUCCUGGGGUAAUGAUCACACCCAUGUGCAGAGGCCUCCACAAUGAGGUUCUGAAAAGUGCUGCCAAUUUCCUCCAUCCCUCAGCCACAUGUGGAAAGAUCUGCAAGGUGAGUAUGUGCAAAACAGCCCCUCUGUCACAGCACACAUGCCUAUAAGCUCACACACACACACACAUCUGCACCCACAUAUGCAUCCUCACCAUCCCACGCAGCUGUGCAGCCCUGUGCAAACACAGACAUGAGUAGCAUCCUCCUGUGUCCUGGACAACUCAAGCCCAUACAGCAUGAUGGGAGCAGAGCCUGCAUGUCCUGGCUACCAUUCCUGUCAGUAGACUUGUCUGCACCAUGCAUGUAAGUCGCACACUUUGCUCCUGACCUCUUGACCUGCUCCCGCGUGCACCUCCCAGAAUCACAAGGAGGACAUGGCCUGGGAACUGCAAGACAUGUGUGACCAGAGAGGCAGCCUGGAUUGACCCCUCAAACACCGAUGCAAGCAGUACCAAGCCGACUCUUCACCAGCUCUGGUAAGUAGCACUCAGUCAUUUUCCUCAUCGCUGCUGAGAUAUGCAUGGGAGCAGGGCAAUGCAUGUUCUGAACAACAUCGGCAAUUGUCAGGGCCUGGAGAACCACGCUGUGAACAGAAAUCAAACUACCUGACCCCCUUAAGGGUGAACACAACGUGCCAAAUCUAUGUGUGAUCAGAAUCUCCACACAUGUACCAACUGUCCAGGGUUGUAGUCACACUCUGGAGGAUGUCCAUGUGAGUUGGGUCUGUCACAGGCAGACAGAUUCAGGUACAUGUGUGGCCUGCACGAUGGGGAUGUUAGGAGCACACUGACACCCCUUGUGUUGACCAUUUUGGGCCCCUGCAGUGCCUGCUACACUGUAGAUGACAAUGCAGCCUCGCCCAAUCCCCAUCAGAGAAGGGAUUUCUUUAUAAAAGACCUCCACAUCAUCCGUAUGGUCAGAUCUUCGUCUCAUCGGCACCACCACAGGGAUGUGGAAUUCUGUAAAAUGUGCAUCUUUUAUGAUACCUUGAGAUAAAAAACAUCCUGGGCCUCAGAAGAGUCCUGCAGAACAAGGACAUGAACACCAGUCCCCCCUGUAGUGGACCUACCACGGAUACAGUUGUGAUUCCUGUCCAAUGUCUUGUCCCCUGAGAACCCUAUGAGCUCAAUAACCAACUGUAAAAGGGGCCCUCUCUAUUGUAAACCUGCAUCCCCCUGACCUGUCAGCCCUGCCUCAAGCAUGUAUGAAACCUUGUGCAUUGUGAACCUGACCUCAUGUUCCCAUCAUGUCCUCCCUACUCCCACUUGUCUGAUGCUUAGUGCAAUGUCACCAUCAUUUUAGUCACCUGUCCCAUGGCAUGGAGUCCAGCACAGAGUGGUGAGCACACACUCCUGUUCUGACUCUGCCAUGAAUGGGUGUAGCACCACACACCACAGAUGUGAGCAGGGCCACUCCGCCGUGUCUUGAUGACCUCAGGCACUGCUGGAGCCCUGCAGAAUGUGGAAGUGUGUGCCCAUCAUUCAUCUCCUGACCCGCUCUGAUGUGUGUGCCCUGUGCAAAGUCAAAGAGAACACAGCACAGACAUGGCAUAUGCCUCAUCACCUUACAUGCAGCCCCUUAGGAAGAGGACAUGACAAGUGGUGCACCAUUUCUGGACCAAGUGCAGACUCUGUGAAAAACCUCUAUCACACAGUUUCAGCCAGGGAACCACAGCCUGCGCUCAUCAGCCCCACCAUUGUGUGGCCCUCCCCAAGUGAAUGUGAGCAGGACCCUGCCCUUGUCUUAAACACCACGGAUGUGCACUCAGCUCUCAAGUGAAUGUGAGCAGAAACUCUCACUGUCCUGAGCAACUCAGGCAUGUGUGGCCCCCUGCACAAUUUGACUUAGAGCAGAGCCUCCCCUUUGUACUGACAACCUCAGGCCAUGGAAGAGCCCUGGACAGGGUGGAUCAGGACACAGCCUUUCCACACACCAAAAUUCUCAGGUAAGUCUGGCCCCACUAUAAAGAGAAGGCAAGAAGAGCCCCACAUACUGCAGACCUCAGCAUCAUGCAUGAAGCCUUCUAAAGGGUGGAGGCAAGAAGAGGCACACCAUUUGCUGACAGACUCUCUCAGGUAGGUACAAGCCUUCAGUGACACAGAGGUGAGCAGAGCAGUGCACAGUGGUGCUCAUCUCACCCAUGUGGAGCCCUUUUCAACAUGUAAGAGGCACACAGCGGCUCAUUCCAUCAAUGCCUCAGGCCUGUGCGGAACUCUCCACCGGGAAAUGGUCACCGUGUGCCCGCACACACAAAGACCAUCUCAGGUUCCUGUGGAGCCCUCAAAAACUAUGUGGGCGAUGCCGUGUCUUGUCCAGACUACCUGAGGUACGGUUGCAGCCCAGAUAGGCGAUGAUCACCUCUGCAAGUCAAGAACCUCACAAAAGGAGGAUGAGAACUCACUUCCCCCUUGCAAACAUCUGCUGGGAUUGGGAGCCCUCUCCAAGGUAAGUGGAAGUACAGGCCUCAUAACUUCAAUCCAUCAGCUACGUGGGAUGCCUCUACAUUAUGCUGUGACAAAUGUCCCAUCACAUCCUCACAAACUCACAUGUUUGUGAGCACUCUACAAAAUGACUCUCCGAACAGCCUCUGCCAACACCCCAGCUACAUCUCACCUCUGAUUUGAGCUGGCUUGCAUCUGCAUCUCCCUGGAGCAGUCCGGGACUCAACCAUGGAAGAUUCCUGUGGAGAAUCUACUAUGCGAAUGUGGACAGAGGCCUCCACAGACAAAGAGACUGCACUUACAAACAAUAUAGGGAACCUGUCCAGUAUAUACGUGAGCAAGACCACCUCUCAACCUGUCCUGACACACUCAGGAAUUUGGGAAUACCUGAGCAACAUGAAUGUGAAGAAGGGGUCUCCGUGUCCUGCCAAUCGGGGACCUCCAGUCUCUGUAAAUCAGGUAAGCAUGAGCAAGGCCUUUGCAUCUCUGUCUCCUGGGGAGCCUUGCCACCGUGGACUCCACAGGAGCUCAACCUACUCCUGACCAUCGCAGAGGAAUGCAAACUGCAGCUUGCCUGUGACCAAAGCCAUUUCCUGGGGUAAUGAUCACACCCAUGUGCAGAGGCCUCCACAAUGAGGUUCUGAAAAGUGCUGCCAAUUUCCUCCAUCCCUCAGCCACAUGUGGAAAGAUCUGCAAGGUGAGUAUGUGCAAAACAGCCCCUCUGUCACAGCACACAUGCCUAUAAGCUCACACACACACACACAUCUGCACCCACAUAUGCAUCCUCACCAUCCCACGCAGCUGUGCAGCCCUGUGCAAACACAGACAUGAGUAGCAUCCUCCUGUGUCCUGGACAACUCAAGCCCAUACAGCAUGAUGGGAGCAGAGCCUGCAUGUCCUGGCUACCAUUCCUGUCAGUAGACUUGUCUGCACCAUGCAUGUAAGUCGCACACUUUGCUCCUGACCUCUUGACCUGCUCCCGCGUGCACCUCCCAGAGUCACAAGGAGGACAUGGCCUGGGAACUGCAAGACAUGUGUGACCAGAGAGGCAGCCUGGAUUGACCCCUCAAACACCGAUGCAAGCAGUACCAAGCCGACUCUUCACCAGCUCUGGUAAGUAGCACUCAGUCAUUUUCCUCAUCGCUGCUGAGAUAUGCAUGGGAGCAGGGCAAUGCAUGUUCUGAACAACAUCGGCAAUUGUCAGGGCCUGGAGAACCACGCUGUGAACAGAAAUCAAACUACCUGACCCCCUUAAGGGUGAACACAACGUGCCAAAUCUAUGUGUGAUCAGAAUCUCCACACAUGUACCAACUGUCCAGGGUUGUAGUCACACUCUGGAGGAUGUCCAUGUGAGUUGGGUCUGUCACAGGCAGACAGAUUCAGGUACAUGUGUGGCCUGCACGAUGGGGAUGUUAGGAGCACACUGACACCCCUUGUGUUGACCAUUUUGGGCCCCUGCAGUGCCUGCUACACUGUAGAUGACAAUGCAGCCUCGCCCAAUCCCCAUCAGAGAAGGGAUUUCUUUAUAAAAGACCUCCACAUCAUCCGUAUGGUCAGAUCUUCGUCUCAUCGGCACCACCACAGGGAUGUGGAAUCCUGUAAAAUGUGCAUCUUUUAUGAUACCUUGAGAUAAAGAACAUCCUGGGCCUCAGAAGAGUCCUGCAGAACAAGGACAUGAACACCAGUCCCCCCUGUAGUGGACCUACCACGGAUACAGUUGUGAUUCCUGUCCAAUGUCUUGUCCCCUGAGAACCCUAUGAGCUCAAUAACCAACUGUAAAAGGGGCCCUCUCUAUUGUAAACCUGCAUCCCCCUGACCUGUCAGCCCUGCCUCAAGCAUGUAUGAAACCUUGUGCAUUGUGAACCUGACCUCAUGUUCCCAUCAUGUCCUCCCUACUCCCACUUGUCUGAUGCUUAGUGCAAUGUCACCAUCAUUUUAGUCACCUGUCCCAUGGCAUGGAGUCCAGCACAGAGUGGUGAGCACACACUCCUGUUCUGACUCUGCCAUGAAUGGGUGUAGCACCACACACCACAGAUGUGAGCAGGGCCACUCCGCCGUGUCUUGAUGACCUCAGGCACUGCUGGAGCCCUGCAGAAUGUGGAAGUGUGUGCCCAUCAUUCAUCUCCUGACCCGCUCUGAUGUGUGUGCCCUGUGCAAAGUCAAAGAGAACACAGCACAGACAUGGCAUAUGCCUCAUCACCUUACAUGCAGCCCCUUAGGAAGAGGACAUGACAAGUGGUGCACCAUUUCUGGACCAAGUGCAGACUCUGUGAAAAACCUCUAUCACACAGUUUCAGCCAGGGAACCACAGCCUGCGCUCAUCAGCCCCACCAUUGUGUGGCCCUCCCCAAGUGAAUGUGAGCAGGACCCUGCCCUUGUCUUAAACACCACGGAUGUGCACUCAGCUCUCAAGUGAAUGUGAGCAGAACCUCUCACUGUCCUGAGCAACUCAGGCAUGUGUGGCCCCCUGCACAAUUUGACUUAGAGCAGAGCCUCCCCUUUGUACUGACAACCUCAGGCCAUGGAAGAGCCCUGGACAGGGUGGAUCAGGACACAGCCUUUCCACACACCAAAAUUCUCAGGUAAGUCUGGCCCCACUAUAAAGAGAAGGCAAGAAGAGCCCCACAUACUGCAGACCUCAGCAUCAUGCAUGAAGCCUUCUAAAGGGUGGAGGCAAGAAGAGGCACACCAUUUGCUGACAGACUCUCUCAGGUAGGUACAAGCCUUCAGUGACACAGAGGUGAGCAGAGCAGUGCACAGUGGUGCUCAUCUCACCCAUGUGGAGCCCUUUUCAACAUGUAAGAGGCACACAGCGGCUCAUUCCAUCAAUGCCUCAGGCCUGUGCGGAACUCUCCACCAGGAAAUGGUCACCGUGUGCCCGCACACACAAAGACCAUCUCAGGUUCCUGUGGAGCCCUCAAAAACUAUGUGGGCGAUGCCAUGUCUUGUCCAGACUACCUGAGGUACGGUUGCAGCCCAGAUAGGCGAUGAUCACCUCUGCAAGUCAAGAACCUCACAAAAGGAGGAUGAGAACUCACUUCCCCCUUGCAAACAUCUGCUGGGAUUGGGAGCCCUCUCCAAGGUAAGUGGAAGCACAGGCCUCAUAACUUCAAUCCAUCAGCUACGUGGGACGCCUCUACAUUAUGCUGUGACAAAUGUCCCAUCACAUCCUCACAAACUCACAUGUUUGUGAGCACUCUACAAAGUGACUCUCUGAACAGCCUCUGCCAACACCCCAGCUACAUCUCACCUCUGAUUUGAGCUGGCUUGCAUCUGCAUCUCCCUGGAGCAGUCCGGGACUCAACCAUGGAAGAUUCCUGUGGAGAAUCUACUAUGCGAAUGUGGACAGAGGCCUCCACAGACAAAGAGACUGCACUUACAAACAAUAUAGGGAACCUGUCCAGUAUAUACGUGAGCAAGACCACCUCUCAACCUGUCCUGACACACUCAGGAAUUUGGGAAUACCUGAGCGACAUGAAUGUGAAGAAGGGGUCUCCGUGUCCUGCCAAUCGGGGACCUCCAGUCUCUGUAAAUCAGGUAAGCAUGAGCAAGGCCUUGGCAUCUCUGUCUCCUGGGGAGCCUUGCCACCGUGGACACCACAGGAGCUCAACCUACUCCUGACCAUCGCAGAGGAAUGCAAACUGCAGCUUGCCUGUGACCAAAGCCAUUUCCUGGGGUAAUGAUCACACCCAUGUGCAGAGGCCUCCACAAUGAGGUUCUGAAAAGUGCUGCCAAUUUCCUCCAUCCCUCAGCCACAUGUGGAAAGAUCUGCAAGGUGAGUAUGUGCAAAACAGCCCCUCUGUCACAGCACACAUGCCCAUAAGCUCACACACACACACACACACAUCUGCACCCACAUAUGCAUCCUCACCAUCCCACGCAGCUGUGCAGCCCUGUGCAAACACAGACAUGAGUAGCAUCCUCCUGUGUCCUGGACAACUCAAGCCCAUACAGCAUGAUGGGAGCAGAGCCUGCAUGUCCUGGCUACCAUUCCUGUCAGUAGACUUGUCUGCACCAUGCAUGUAAGUCGCACACUUUGCUCCUGACCUCUUGACCUGCUCCCACGUGCACCUCCCAGAGUCACAAGGAGGACAUGGCCUGGGAACUGCAAGACAUGUGUGACCAGAGAGGCAGCCUGGAUUGACCCCUCAAACACCGAUGCAAGCAGUACCAAGCCGACUCUUCACCAGCUCUGGUAAGUAGCACUCAGUCAUUUUCCUCAUCGCUGCUGAGAUAUGCAUGGGAGCAGCGCAAUGCAUGUUCUGAACAACAUCGGCAAUUGUCAGGGCCCGGAGAACCACGCUGUGAACAGAAAUCAAACUACCUGACCCCCUUAAGGGUGAACACAACGUGCCAAAUCUAUGUGUGAUCAGAAUCUCCACACGUGUACCGACUGUCCAGGGUUGUAGUCACACUCUGGAGGAUGUCCAUGUGAGUUGGGUCUCUCACAGGCAGACAGAUUCAGGUACAUGUGUGGCCUGCAUGAUGGGGAUGUUAGCAGCACACUGACACCCCUUGUGUUGACCAUCUGGGGCCCCUGCACUGCCUGGUACACUGUGUAUGACAAUGGAGCCCCACCCAAUCCCCAUCAGAGAAGGGAUUUCUUUAUAAAAGACCUCCACAUCAACUGUAUGGUCAGAUCUUCGUCCCAUUGGCCCCACCGCGGGAAUGUGGAAUCCUGUAAAAUGUGCAUCUUUUAUGAUACCUUGAGAUAAAGAACAUCCUGGGCCUCAGAAGAGUCCUGCAGAACAAGGACAUGAACACCAGUCCCCCCUGUAGUGGACCUACCACGGAUACAGUUGUGAUUCCUGUCCAAUGUCUUGUCCCCUGAGAACCCUAUGAGCUCAAUAACCAACUGUAAAAGGGGCCCUCUCUAUUGUAAACCUGCAUCCCCCUGACCUGUCAGCCCUGCCUCAAGCAUGUAUGAAACCUUGUGCAUUGUGAACCUGACCUCAUGUUCCCAUCAUGUCCUCCCUACUCCCACUAAGUCUGAUGCUUGGUGCAAUGUCACCAUCAUUUUAGUCACCUCUCCCAUGGCAUUCAGUCCAGGCAGAGUGUUGAGCACACACACUCUUGUUGUGAAUAUGCCAUGAAUAUGUGUAGCAUCACACACCACAGAUCUGAGCACAGCUACUCCACGUCUUGAUGACCUCAGGCACUGCUGGAGCGCUGCAGAAUGUGGAAGUGUGUGCAGAUCAUCCAUCUCUUGACCAGCUCUGAUGUGUGUGCCCUUUGCAAAGUCAAAGAGAACAGAAUACAAUCGUGUCAUGUGCAUCAUCACCUUGCACGCACACCUGUAGGAAGAAGACAUGACAAAUGGUACACCAUUUCUGGAGCAAGUGCAUACUCCGUGGAAAACCUCUACCCCACAAAUACAGCCAGAGAACCACUGCCUGCAGUAAUCAGCCUCAGGAUUGUGUGGCCUUCCCAAUGUGAAUGUGAGCAGAGCUCUGCCCUUGUCUUCAACACCACGGAUAUGCACUCAGCGCUAAAGUGAAUAUGAGCAGAGUCUCUCACUGUCGUGAACAACUCUGGCAAUUAAUGUCGCCCUACAAGAUGUGACUGUGAGCGCAGCCUCCCCUGUGUCCUGACAACAUCAGGCCCUGGAAGAGCCCUGCACUGUGUGGAUGUAGAACAGCUAUUCGACAUUCCAACAGUCCCAGGGAAGUGUGGCUCCUGUACAAAGAUGAGGCAAGCAGAGCCCCACAUGCUCCAGACAUCAGCAUCAUGCAUGAAGCCCUCUAUAGGGUGCAGGUCAGAAGAGGCACACCAUUUGUGGCUGGAUUCUCUUAGGUAGGUACAGUGCUUCAACGACACAGAGGUGAGCAGAGCAGUGCACAGUUGUGCUUAUCUCGUGCAUGUGGAGCCCUUUUCAACAUGUAACACACACACAGCGGUCCAUUCCGUCAAUGCCUCAGGCCUGUGUGGAACUCUCCACCAGGAAAUGGGCACUGUGUGCCAACCCUUAAACCACCAUCUUAGGCUCUUAUGGAGCCCUAACGAAUCUCUAUAUGCAAUGCUCCUCCUGUACUGACAAGCUGAGGAAUGGGAGGAGCCCAGCCAGGUGCUGAUCACCCUUCCAAGUCAAGAAUCUUAGACAUGGAUGAUGUGAAUACACUUCCCGUGUGCAAACUUCUGCUGGGAUUAGGAGCCCUCUCAAGGUAAGUGGAAACACAGGUCUCACAACUCCAAUCCAUCAGCUACAUCGGACGCCUCUCCAUUAUGUUGUGAUAAAGGUCCCAUCACAUCCUCACAACCUCACAUGUUUGUGAGCACUAUAUAAAGUGACUCUGGGAACAGACUCCGCCAAUGUCCAAACUACAUCUCACCUAUGAGUUGAGCUGGAUUCCAUCUGCAUCUGGCUGGACUAGUGCAGGACUCAACUAUGAAGACUCCUGUCAAGAAUCUACUAUUCGAAUGUGGCCAGAGACUUCCACACAUAAAGAGACUGUACUUACAAACAAUAUAGGGAACCUGUGCAAUGUAUGUGUGAGAACGGCCACCCUUCAACAUGUCCUGAGACACUCAGGCAUUUGGGAACACUUGAGGGAGAUCAAUAUGAAGAAUGGGUCUCCACUUCCUGCCAACAGGGGUCUCCAGUCUCUACAGCAGGUAAGCAUAAGCAGGGCCUUUGCAUCUCUGUCACCUAUGGACCCUGCCGCCAUUGAGAGCACAGGAGCUCGACCUACUUCUGACCCUCACAUAGGAGUACAACCUCUGCAGCUUGGUUGUGACCAGAGCCACUUCCUGUGGUAAUGAUCACACACAUGUGCAGAGGCCUCCACAAUGAGGUUGUGAACAGAGAUGCCAAUUUCCUUCAUCCCUUAGCCACAUGUGGAUGACCUGCAAGGUGAGUAUGUGCAAAACAGCCCCUUUAUCACUGCACAAAUGUGCAUACACUCACAGACAUCUGUACACACAUAUGCAUCAUCACCAUCCCAGGCAGAUGUGCUGCCCUGUACAAACACAGACAUGAGUAGCAUCCUCCUGUGUCCUGAACAACUCAAGCCCAUACAGCAUGAUGGGAGCAGAGACUGCAUGUCCUACUAACAAUUCCUGUGCAUAGACUCAUCUGCACCAUGCAUGUGAGUAGCACAUUUUGCUCCUGACCUCUUGACCUGCUCUCAUGUGCACAACCCAUAGUCACAAGGACGACAUGGCCUGGGACUUGCAAGACAUUUGUGACCACAGAGGCAGCCUGGAGAAACCCCUCAAAUACCCAUUUAAGCAGCACCAAGCCAAAUCUUCACCACCUCUGGUAAGUACCACUAAGUCAUUUAAUUUCCUCAUCGCCACGGAGAUAUCCAUGGGAGCAGGCAAUUGUCAGGCCCUGUAGAACCAGGCUGUGAGCAGAAACCAAACUACCUGAUUCCCUCAAGGGUGAGGACACCUUGCAAAACAUACAUAGGACCAGAAUCUCCACACAUGUACCGACUGUCCAGGUUGGCAGUCACAAUCUUGAGGAGGUACAUGGGAGCAGACUCUGUCUCAGGCAAUAUGUGGCCCGCAGGACAGGGAUUUGAGCAGCCCCUGGACCCCUUGUGCCUACCCUCUGUGUCAGUUUUAGUGCCUGUUACACUGUGGAUCAGAAUGGAGGCCAGCACAUCCCAUCAAAGCAAGGAUAUUUUUAUUAAAGACCUGGACAUCCUCUGCGUGGCUAGAUCUUCAUACCAUCUGCACCACCUCAGGAAUAUGUGGAUAUGCGCAAGGCUAGAGUUCCACAUCCUGAUGGCCUCAUGCCUUGAUGGUGCCUGGUCGAUCAUGGACAAGAGAAGAGACCCUCCAAAUUGUGACAACUGCCAGUGUGUGUUACCUUUACAAUGUCAGUGUGAUCACAGCCCACAUGUUUUUGUGUCAUCAUCAUAUAAUGAGCCCCGUAAAAUGAGAAGAGCUGCGAUAUUCAUCCGAACUCAGGCCCCUGGAAAACUUUUCCAGUGUGGGUAUGACCAGCAGCACCCUAUGUGGUUAUCAGCUUUUCAAUGUGAGGAGCCCUCUUCAGUGUGAAUGGAAGCAGCGUACACUAAGUUCUCCGGAGCAUAGGUCUCAUUAUGCGGUUCGGGCUGGCCUUCAGUUCACUUUGUAGCUCAGGCUGGGCACAAACUCACAGCAAUUCACCUGUGUGCCUCAGCUCCAAGUGUUGGGAUUACACCACCACCCUGGCUUAAACACUUCCGUAAAAAUCCUGAUCAUCUUCAUGGUAUGAGGAUCCAUAUACAACAUGGAGAUCAUUUCAGCCAACUGAAGGAUCAUCUGUCAAAAAUAAUCUCAGGAUCACAGGAGAUCAGCUUUCCUGUUACACACAUCACACACUGCAAAGCUGAGAAAAGGUGCAGAAUUAUUACUCUGGGACUGAGAUGUAGGAAGGUGCCAUGAGACUGAUAGAGUGCCUGAUCCAUUUCAGAAACAAUAUCUCAAGUUUGAACCAGGCACAGCCUGAAUUUGGAAGGUGAACCGAAUACCGCCCUCUGUGCACUGUCAUCCUACAUGGCCAGAUCUGGACUGAUGGACUGCAGCUCAGGACACUGUCAAUCCUCCUGAUUUCAGCAAAGGCCUCCUGGUGACAUCCUGUGAAAAGGUUCCAUAGUGGAGCCCAGACACCUGUAUGGCAAGUAGGCUGUUUAACAAACCCUCAACAUGGAACCCAAGCCUGCUUCCAGGCCCAAGGGAUAGGAAAGGUGAAUGUGCCAGCCAGAGCUCCAGCACGAGACAGCCCUGAGGCAUGGGUGGCUCUUAGUUUUCUCCAUUGAGAUCUGCCUAAGACGCAGACAUCACACAGCUCAAAAUGCAUGGAUGUCAAUGGUUAGAGAACUGUUUGGCUUAUGUACCUUCAUCACGGACUCAAGCACAGAUCCCAAAGUAUUUCUGCAAAGUCGAGGUCAACACUAUAAUGGUGGAUGCCACUCACCAAACAGAUCCCAAAGUAUUUCUGCAAAGUCGAGGUCAACACUAUAAUGGUGGAUGCCACUCACCAAAACACAACCACACUUAGAUUACAGGGACACAGGGACACACCAGAGCCUACUGUGUAGGCAAGCUCUGUAUCUUCCCAGCACCACAACUCUGCAUCACUCUGACUUUACAGCUGUGCUUUUCAGCACUUCCCUGGGGACAUGCAAGGGCCAUGGUGCAGAAGCUCAUUAGAGGACUCAAAGAAAAAAAGGCAUCUGUGUAUCCUAUGGCCAUUAUACCACCUCCCACUGACUACCAAAUGUAGACAAAAAUGGGGUGAAGCUAUCUGCCCAAGGUGACUCACUGGAGGAAAACACUUGGCUUAGUCCUAGAGCUGGCAACUCCAGAGCGCUGCCUACCACCCAGUGCACCUCAAUGAUUUGCACUCAGUGCUCAGUACUGCUGCCUUUAUUCAAAAGUGCAUAUAAAUCCUUCAGGCUACAGGAAGGUUCUUUUACAAAUUCCCUAACCUGAAUAUGAUUCUUAUGGAUCUGAAAUGUACCAAUAAUCAUAAUUAUGAAAGGAAAAAUGAUAAAAAUAAAAGUGUUCUCACAGUAUCAAAUUUUAAGUUGUACUCAGGCUUUCUCUGCCCUGAGGCUUGAUGCAAAACUGUGGCCUUCCUAGGCCACUUGGAGCCCUCACACUCGCCCACAUCAGGCACCAGGCACGUCUGUGAUUCUUGCCACUGACAACUGGUAGGAAGGAGGAGCAAUUGCUUUUAGUAAAGAUGCAACAAUUCCAGUUAAGCUUUUCUCACCUUUUCAUGAGAGCAGAAAAAGGAAAACUACUAACAUGUCUUUGUAAGUGUGUAAGCAACCAUCAGAAUGAGUGUGUAUUUGCAGACAUUAGUUUGGCACAGCACAUGUCCCUUCAGGCACUGUAGGAACAACUGGGUGACCACCAGAGCGUCCACCCCAUGGAAGGAUGGGCCAUGGAGCACCACACAGCAGUUUGAAAGCAGAAUCCCCAUGCCACACCGAGACGCCUACCAUGGUCAGCUGGAAAAUCAGGCAAUGGAGAGCCAGGGUGUAGCCUUGGCCUUUAGGAGACACAUUUUUGCACAAACACAGAAAUUUGUGUAUCAAACACAGCGGGACUCAUUUCCUGAACUGUGACUAAGAAGCAGACUUCUUUGUUCUUAACGUAGGCCCUUCUGAGCUAUGUGAAUGUCUCAACCAAGCACUUAAGAAAAAUAACAAUCAAUUAGAAUGUCUCAGCAGAAAGCUGAGCUCCCACAUCAAGAGGCUCCAGCUCAAAGGGAGGAUGGAAAAAUGAACAUAAGGUCAGAUGUAGGAUCUUCUGUUCAUGGUGUACGUAAGAUAGUAUGAGCUGCACGGAAUGGUACAUACCUGUAAUCCCAGUAUGCAAGAGGCUGAGGCUGGAUGACUCCAUGGUCCACUCUCACAAUUUGGAUGGUA